rnacentral:rRNA from 1 species
UACAGAGGGUGCGAGCGUUAAUCGGAAUUACUGGGCGUAAAGCGUGCGUAGACGGUUAUUUAAGUCGGGUGUGAAAGCCCGGGCUCAACCUGGGAAUUGCAUUCGAGACUGAAUAGCUAGGGUACGGUAGAGGGAAGUGGAAUUUCCGGUGUAGCGGUGAAAUGCGUAGAUAUCGGAAGGAACAUCAGUGGCGAAAGCGAACUUCCUGGACCAAUACUGGCGCUCAUGUGCGAAGCG